UACGGAGGGUGCGAGCGUUAAUCGGAAUAACUGGGCGUAAAGGGCACGCAGGCGGGCUUUUAAGUGAGAUUUGAAAUCCCCGGGCUUAACCUGGGAAUAGCAUUUCAGACUGGGAGUCUAGAGUACUUUAGGGAAGGGUAGAAUUCCACGUGUAGCGGUGAAAUGCGUAGAGAUGUGGAGGAAUACCGAAGGCGAAGGCAGCUCCUUGGAAAUAUACUGACGCUCAGGUGCGAAAGCGUGGGGAGCAAACAGG
rnacentral:rRNA from 1 species